AUUGAACGCUGGCGGCAUGCUUUACACAUGCAAGUCGAACGGUAACAGGCCGCAAGGUGCUGACGAGUGGCGAACGGGUGAGUAAUGCAUCGGAACGUGCCCAGUCGUGGGGGAUAACGCAGCGAAAGCUGCGCUAAUACCGCAUACGAUCUCUGGAUGAAAGCGGGGGACCGAAAGGCCUCGCGCCGUUGGAGCGGCCGAUGUCAGAUUAGGUAGUUGGUGGGGUAAAGGCCCACCAAGCCAACGAUCUGUAGCUGGCUCUGAGAGGACGACCAGCCACACUGGGACUGAGACACGGCCCAGACUCCUACGGGAGGCAGCAGUGGGGAAUUCUGGACAAUGGGCGCAAGCCUGAUCCAGCAAUGCCGCGUGCAGGAAGAAGGCCUUCGGGUUGUAAACUGCUUUUGUACGGAACGAAACGGUCCUGGUUAAUACCUGGGGCUAAUGACGGUACCGUAAGAAUAAGCACCGGCUAACUACGUGCCAGCAGCCGCAGUAAUAC
rnacentral:rRNA from 1 species